GGCAGAGUGCCCGAGUGGUCCAAGGGGAUUGACUUGAAAUCAAUUACGUUCGCGUGCGCAGGUUCGAACCCUGUCUCUGUCG
rnacentral:tRNA from 3 species